UCUAAUACCAGUUGUCUGUGAUUGUCUCUUUUUCUUUUCAGGCAGAAGAAAUGCAUGAGUAAAUUAUUAGAAUACAGUGCUGAUGUCAACAUUUGUAAUAAUGAAGGCCUUACAGCAAUACACUGGCUGGCUGUGAAUGGGCGGACAGAACUUCUCCAUGACCUCGUACAACACGUCAGUGACGUCGAUGUGGAGGAUGCGAUGGGGCAGACAGCGCUGCAUGUGGCCUGCCAGAAUGGUCACAAGACGACAGUGCAGUGCUUGCUGGACAGUGGUGCUGAUAUUAACAGGCCAAAUGUAUCAGGAGCCACUCCACUGUACUUCGCUUGCAGUCAUGGUCAGAGAGACACGGCACAGAUUCUUCUGGUGCGCGGGGCCAAGUAUCUGCCGGAUGGGAGCGGAGUGACUCCUCUGGACUUGUGUGCACAGGGUGGAUAUGGAGAGACCUGUGAAGUAUUAAUUCAGUAUCAUCCUAGGCUUUUCCAGACAAUUAUUCAAAUGACACAGAAUGAAAAUCUCAGAGAAAAUAUGUUACGGCAGGUCCUGGAGCAUUUGUCUCAGCAGAGUGAGAGCCAGCACUUAAAGAUGCUGACGGGCCUCGCUGAAGUUGCCACCACCAAUGGUCAUAAAUUGCUUAGCCUGUCUAGUAAUUAUGAUGCUCAAAUGAAGAGCCUUUUAAGGAUUGUGAGGAUAUUUUGUCAUGUCUUUCGAAUUGGUCCAUCCUCUCCCAGUAAUGGAAUCGACAUGGGCUACAAUGGAAAUAAAACUCCAAGAAGCCAGGUGUUCAAGCCUCUCGAAUUGCUUUGGCACUCAUUAGAUGAAUGGCUAGUCCUAAUAGCUACAGAACUGAUGAAAAACAAAAAGGACUCCACAGAUAUCACUUCUAUUUUACUCAAACAAAAAGGCCAAGAUCAAGGUGCUGCUUCCAUUCCUCCGUUUGAACCUCCAGGACCUGGAACUUACGAAAAUCUCUCCCCUGGCACACGGGAAUCUAAACCAGAUGCUCUCGGAGGGAAACAGGAAGCCAGCGCAGACUGCCAGGAUGUUAUUUCUGUGACAGCUAACCGGCUUAGUGCUGUCAUUCAAGCUUUCUACAUGUGCUGUUCUUGUCAGAUGCCUCCAGGGAUGACUUCACCCCGUUUCAUUGAAUUUGUGUGCAAACAUGAUGAAGUUUUGAAAUGCUUUGUUAAUAGAAAUCCCAAAAUUAUAUUUGACCACUUUCACUUCCUCCUUGAAUGUCCUGAAUUGAUGUCAAGAUUCAUGCAUAUCAUAAAAGCACAGCCAUUUAAAGAUCGCUGUGAGUGGUUCUAUGAACAUUUGCAUUCAGGGCAACCAGAUUCAGACAUGGUGCACAGGCCAGUGAAUGAAAAUGACAUCCUGCUGGUUCACAGAGAUUCUAUUUUUAGGAGUAGCUGUGAAGUUGUGUCAAAAGCCAAUCGUGCAAAGUUAAAGCAAGGCCUUGCUGUGCGGUUCCACGGAGAAGAAGGCAUGGGUCAAGGUGUUGUGCGUGAGUGGUUUGAUAUUCUGUCUAAUGAGAUAGUCAAUCCUGAUUAUGCAUUGUUUACCCAGUCAGCUGAUGGAACAACUUUUCAGCCUAAUAGCAACUCCUAUGUAAACCCUGACCACUUGAACUAUUUCCGAUUUGCUGGACAGAUCUUGGGAUUAGCUUUGAAUCAUAGGCAGCUGGUCAACAUUUACUUCACAAGAUCAUUUUACAAGCACAUUCUUGGUAUUCCUGUAAAUUACCAGGAUGUGGCAUCCAUUGAUCCAGAAUAUGCCAAAAAUUUACAGUGGAUUUUAGAUAAUGAUAUUAGUGAUCUGGGUCUAGAACUAACUUUCUCUGUUGAGACUGAUGUGUUUGGAGCAAUGGAAGAGGUGCCUUUGAAGCCUGGGGGUGGAAGUAUUCUUGUGACACAAAAUAACAAAGCGGAGUAUGUUCAGCUUGUCACCGAGCUUCGAAUGACGAGGGCCAUUCAGCCUCAGAUCAAUGCUUUUCUACAAGGCUUUCAUACGUUCAUCCCUCCUUCCCUCAUACAACUUUUUGAUGAGUAUGAAUUGGAGCUACUGCUUUCUGGCAUGCCAGAAAUUGAUGUGAGUGAUUGGAUAAAAAAUACAGAAUACACAAGUGGCUAUGAAAGAGAAGAUCCGGUUAUUCAGGAAGUCUGCAAUUGCUCAGAAAUACAAGCACAUUUUUUGUUGAUGUUUUUGUUAGUGGUUCUGGGAAGUUGUGGAAGGCAUUACUCCAGAGGAGAGAGUUCUUCUCCUGCAGUUUGUUACUGGCAGUUCCAGGGUCCCACAUGGUGGAUUUGCUAAUAUCAUGGGUGGAAGUGGAUUGCAAAACUUUACAAUCGCUGCUGUGCCAUAUACUCCAAGUCUUCUGCCGACUUCAAGCACAUGCAUCAACAUGCUCAAGUUACCUGAAUACCCAAGUAAAGAAAUACUCAAGGACAGACUUCUUGUGGCACUACAUUGUGGCAGCUAUGGUUACACAAUGGCAUAGCCAGCCUGGAAAACCCAUCUGACUACUGAUGCGCAAUUCAGAGUGGCAGAAAUUGUUUAGGAAACUGUCAGCAGAAAAGCAGCCUAAAUGCAGCCCGUAAGCAGGGCUGAUGCUUAAAAUUCAUAAAGGAUCAGGGCUUCUUUUUUUCCUCCCUGUCUUUUUUCCCUUUUAUGUUUUCUCAGUUUGUGAUACAAUUAGAAAAUAUAAAAUCACAGUAGUUUUUUCAUUUUUAGAAUGCUAACUGAAAGUAGUAGGAACUGUCCUUUUUCAUAUUACUUUAGUUGUAUCCAAGAUUGUGUUAAAACAAAAUCUUAUUCUGCAUUCCCACCUCUGCUAUGUAACUGUCUUGUUGAAAGUGUGUUUUCUCUUUAUUUUCCUAUAUAUUAAAUUAUAUUAGGACAUCCAGCCUGGUAUGUUCUAUAGCAUGUAAAGUGCCAUUUAUAUUUUGGAGAACUAUUGUAUAGAAUGGAUUAAUUUGGAUUGUGUAUAAACCACAAAUAAGGUAUUUUCCAUAUUGAAUCUAUAUUACAAUGAUGUUUUUUAGCUUUUUAAUAUUUUAAUAUACAAUAAAAAGUUUAGACUGAUGUGACUUACAAACAGCUGAUGAAGUGACAUCUAAUUUAUAUAUUAAAGCUUAUGCUCUAGUGUAUAAAUUAUUUGCAGUUUUCAGUCGUCAGUUUUCCAUAUAUAUACAUAUAUAUAUAUUGUGGUCUCAAGUGGUUUCUUAUGCCUUAUUUAAAUUUUUACUUUAGGUAAAUUUAAAUGUAUUUUACCAUAUUUCUUUUCAUUACUUUUGUUCUAUCUGUGAGCCCUAGCACAUUUGAAAAAGUAAUGUGAUGUGUAGGUUACAAUUUAAAUAUGUAAUUUUUUAUUUCUUAAAUUUGCUUUCUGUGAUUAAAUAUUGCAUUUAAGUGAUGUAUGCCAAAUACAGAGUGUGGGAUUUUUAAAUUUCAGGAGGGUCUUCUCAGUUUUCUUUUGAAAAGACACACUUCCCUUGGGUAUUGACAGCGUACUUUUUAAGGGGAAGUAGGAACCACUCACACGUUGAGAAAUGCUAACAGAGGAAUUUGUGAUGUUGAGGAAAACCUUACCUCUGGAAACUAAAAGUAGACUCUCCAGGGGAGUCGCUGUUGGCAGGGUGACGCCCAUGCUGAUUUCUCAUAUGAGCAGCUGGUGUAUUUGUGACUGAAAAAUACAGACAAUGGAUGUGUCAGUAUAGACAAAUGCAUAUUGUGUAUCUGUGUAUAUAGACAUAUACAUCGAAAGCUUUGCUCAGUUAUGAAUCUUCUUUAAUACAUGACUUUUAGUCCUUUUUUCUUAUUGUGGGUUUUGUUUCUAAUAUUAAAACAUUUCUCAACAGAUUACUUUAAAAACUAUGAAUUCUUUAAAAAUUACUAUUAGCUCUAAAAUUAAGAUUCAGAUGCUUUACUUGUAGUAAAUGAAGCUAAUGUUUAAAAUCUUGGUUUUUGAAAUUUAAUUGUAGAAAUCAUUAUCUUCUGUGUUUUCAAAUAAGUGACUGGCUUUACUAUUAUUACAUUGCUUAUAAUUUGGAUGUUUACAGACAUAUUUCUGUUUAUAAUUAUGUACUACAUUGGUUUUGUCAGUUGGUCCUUUUGCAAGUAAUUUAUGUGGAAGAGAUAAUAAAACAUUAAAAAUCUCA